rnacentral:rRNA from 1 species
CAGUCGCCGCGGUAAUACGAAGGGGGCUAGCGUUGUUCGGAUUUACUGGGCGUAAAGCGCACGUAUGCGGACUUUUAAGUCAGGGGUGAAAUCCCGUGGCUCAACCCCGGAACUGCCUUUGAUACUGGAAUUCUUGAGUAUGGUAGAGGUGAGUGGAAUUCCGAGUGUAGAGGUGAAAUUCGUAGAUAUUCGGAUGAACACCAGUGGCGAAGGCGGCUCACUGGACCAUUACUGACGCUGAGGUGCGAAAGCGUGGGGAGCAAACAGGAUUAGAUACCCCCGUAGUCCCUGUCUCUUAUAC